UGGGGAAUCUUGGACAAUGGGCGCAAGCCUGAUCCAGCCAUGCCGCGUGGGUGAUGAAGGCCUUAGGGUUGUAAAAUCCUUUCGUGGGGGACGAUAAUGACGGUACCCCAAGAAGAAGCUCCGGCUAACUUCGUGCCAGCAGCCGCGGUAAUACGAAGGGGGCUAGCGUUGUUCGGAUUUACUGGGCGUAAAGCGCGUGUAGGCGGGUCGUUAAGUUGGGGGUGAAAUCCCGAGGCUCAACCUCGGAACUGCCUUCAAAACUGGCGACCUGGACUCAAGCAGAGGCAAGUGGAAUUGCGAGUGUAGAGGUGAAAUUCGUAGAUAUUCGCAGGAACACCAGUGGCGAAGGCGACUUGCUGGGCUUGUAGUGACGCUGAGACGCGAAAGCGUGGGGAGCAAACAGGAUUAGAUACCCGCGUAGUCCCUGAGCGGGCUGGCAAGGCGCAU
rnacentral:rRNA from 1 species